CUGUCGUGCUCCAUCAUCUGUUCACCCUUUCGACUUCAUUCGAGAACAAAGAUUCUCUCAUUUAAGCUUUCGCGAAAUUAGGGUUUCCGUUCCAAUUUGGGGAAAUCGGAAGGAGGUACCUAGAGAGAGAAAUGGCAUCGGUGGCAUCGUCCGGUGGAUCUGGCCUGUUCAAAUUCCUCAAGCCCAGGCUGCGGCCUCAGCCGAACGACAUCCAGGCCGCCGCCAUGUGGGGCGUCGCCGCCGGCGCCACCGCUCUUUACCUCACCCAGCCAUUUGAUUGGUUGAAGAAAACGUUCUUCGAGAAACCAGAGCCUGAAGACAAGUGAGUUGGGGAGUUAAAGCUGGGCAAGUCUGAUCUCGUCAUCGCCUUUUCUCCUUUCUGCUGUGAGGGUUUAUGAACAGAAGUGAACUUGAAUAAUGCAGUUUCAGUUGCCAGUACCAUUUUGGGGCCUUUUUUGGCAUUAGAAUCCGGAUCAUACAACGAAUACUUUGUUUUCGAGAGCACUCUUUGAUUCUUUUCUCUC